GUGACGAAGCGACGCCGCGUGCGGGAAGAAGGCCUUCGGGUUGUAAACCGCUGUCGGGAGUUAGGAAGUGCAAGGAUGUUAAUAGCGUUCUUGCUUGACUAAGGCUCCGGAGGAAGCCACGGCUAACUCUGUGCCAGCAGCCGCGGUAAUACAGAGGCGGCAAGCGUUGUUCGGAAUUAUUGGGCGUAAAGAGCACGUAGGCGGCUGUGUAAGUCGGUUGUGAAAGCCUUCCGCUUAACGGAAGAACGGCAUCCGAUACUGCAUAGCUUGAGUGCGGGAGGGGAGAGUGGAACUUCUGGUGGAGCGGUGAAAUGCGUAGAUAUCAGAAGGAACACCGGCGGCGAAGGCGACUCUCUGGUCCGUAACUGACGCUGAGUGUGCGAAAGCUAGGGGAGCAAACGGGAUUAGAUACCCCGGUAGUCCUAGCCGUAAACGAU
rnacentral:rRNA from 3 species